AUUGAACGCUGGCGGCAGGCUUAACACAUGCAAGUCGAGCGGGGGAAGGUAGCUUGCUACCGGACCUAGCGGCGGACGGGUGAGUAAUGCUUAGGAAUCUGCCUAUUAGUGGGGGACAACAUCCCGAAAGGGAUGCUAAUACCGCAUACGUCCUACGGGAGAAAGCAGGGGAUCAUCGGACCUUGCGCGAAUAGAUGAGCCUAAGUCGGAUUAGCUAGUUGGUGGGGUAAAGGCCUACCAAGGCGACGAUCUGUAGCGGGUCUGAGAGGAUGAUCCGCCACACUGGGACUGAGACACGGCCCAGACUCCUACGGGAGGCAGCAGUGGGGAAUAUUGGACAAUGGGGGGAACCCUGAUCCAGCCAUGCCGCGUGUGUGAAGAAGGCCUUAUGGUUGUAAAGCACUUUAAGCGAGGAGGAGGCUACUUUAGUUAAUACCUAGAGAUAGUGGACGUUACUCGCAGAAUAAGCACCGGCUAACUCUGUGCCAGCCGCCGCGGUAA
rnacentral:rRNA from 1 species